rnacentral:rRNA from 1 species
ACAGAGGUCUCGAGCGUUAGGCGGAAUCACUGGGGUUAAAGCGUGUGUAGGCGGAUCGGUAAGUACCUUGUGAAAUCCCACAGCUUAACUGUGGAACUGCUUGGUAUACUGCCAGUCUUGAGCCACUUAGGGGCUACCGGAACAAAUGGUGGAGCGGUGAAAUGCGUAGAAAUCGUUUGGAACGCCAAUGGUGAAAACAGCAGGCUGGGGAUGUGCUGACGCUGAGACGCGAAAGCCAGGGGAGCAAACGGGA